AGCGAACGCUGGCGGCAGGCUUAACACAUGCAAGUCGAACGGGCACCUUCGGGUGUCAGUGGCAGACGGGUGAGUAACACGUGGGAACGUACCCUUCGGUUCGGAAUAACUCAGGGAAACUUGAGCUAAUACCGGAUACGCCCUUUUGGGGAAAGGUUUACUGCCGAAGGAUCGGCCCGCGUCUGAUUAGCUUGUUGGUGGGGUAACGGCCUACCAAGGCGACGAUCAGUAGCUGGUCUGAGAGGAUGAUCAGCCACACUGGGACUGAGACACGGCCCAGACUCCUACGGGAGGCAGCAGUGGGGAAUAUUGGACAAUGGGCGCAAGCCUGAUCCAGCCAUGCCGCGUGAGUGAUGAAGGCCUUAGGGUUGUAAAGCUCUUUUGUCCGGGACGAUAAUGACGGUACCGGAAGAAUAAGCCCCGGCUAACUUCGUGCCAGCAGCCGCGGUAAUACGAAGGGGGCUAGCGUUGCUCGGAAUCACUGGGCGUAAAGGGCGCGUAGGCGGCCGA
rnacentral:rRNA from 1 species